CCGCCGGCGACCGGCGCACGGGUGAGUAACACGUAUGCAACCUGGCCGUGACAGAUGGAUAACCGGGAGAAAUCCCGCCUAAUACAACAUAAUGCCGGGAGGGGACAUCCCCUGCCGGCCAAAGGGGGCGACCCCGGUCACGGAUGGGCAUGCGGCGCAUUAGGUAGUUGGUGGGGCAACGGCCCACCAAGCCGACGAUGCGUAGGGGUUCUGAGAGGAAGGUCCCCACAUUGGAACUGAGACACGGUCCAAACUCCUACGGGAGGCAGCAG
rnacentral:rRNA from 1 species